CUGAAGAAGAUUAUCGUUUUACUUUGAGCACACUUUGUGUGUGUGUCAUUUCUUCAUCAAUGGCGUCUUUCACGAGUUUACUCGGUGGAUGCAUUUGUGAGGAAGCAUGUGAUUUCAUUUCACCAAAUGGUCAAAGGAUUUUACUUGAUUUGUUAAAUUUAAUUUUCGUGAUUUUUUUCUAUUUAAUUUCGUUAGUUCACUACCUAAGAAAAUUUGGAGUCAGUGAGAAUAAGUUUAGGAGAAGUGACCGGAAAUUUCUGGUAGCAGUUGCAUUUUGUUGUUUUCUUACUGGCUGUGCUUACUUUGGUGAUUGUUUAUGGGAGGUGGUAAGUAGAACUAGAUGCUUUACUUGCUUCGAUUGGAUGAUGGAUGCUUGUAGAGUAUUAGUAUGGGUGACUUUCACCGUUACGUUGCUUGUUGAAAGAUGGAAGCUGAUUAGGAUUUUUGUUUCUAUGUGGUGGAUUAUAGUGUUUGUGUGUAUCACUACGACACGGAUCGGAAUUUUAGUAGAGAAGCAUGGGGUUUUAGUUUUGGAGUCCAUCUUGCUAUAAUUGUUUUGUGCGCUGAGCAAUGGCAUAGUCAUACUAAGAUAGUUUUUUUUAUAUGAAACGGUAAUUAUGUUGAUUUGAGCCAACGCAUAUAGAGCAUUACCUAGAUUGCAUCAUUAUAAGUAUAUUGGUAGAAGUUGUCACAUGUACUAAACAGAAACAAAGAGAUGCUUGUAAAAAGUAGUUAAACUAAUCCUGCAGGCUUCAACAGAUUUAAGUGUAUUGGAUUUUGACAUAGCCUUCUCGUUUACUUUUGUGGUGACUUCCGGUAUUGAAUUACUCACUACAAUCACUGUGAUGGCAUCAGUAUCAUGGGAAGUCCUUAUCGUAGGCAUCUUUGCUAUAAUAGCUACAAAAUAUUUCCAGGGUUAUUAUCAACCAUCUGCAAGGGAACUUAUUAGAAUCAAUGGACCACGGAAGCACCUGUGGUAAAUUAUGCAUCCGAAACCUCUCUUGGAGUGGCUACAAUCAGGGCAUUUAGAAAGGGGGACAGGUUCUUUAAAAAUUACUUAAAACUAGUAGAUAUCGAUGCACGUGCUUUCAUUUUUACAAAUGCGACAUUGGAGUGGUUGGUUUUGAGAGCAGAAGUGCUUCAAAACUUGACACUAUUUACCGCUGUUUUUUUCCUGGUUUCACUUCCAAAGAGUUAUAUUCCUCCCGGUUAGUUGGGCUUUCACUUUCAUACGCACUGGCACUGACAAAUGCCCAUGUGUUCUUGACACGUUGGUAUUGUAACCUAUCCGAUUACAUCAUUUUAGUAGAAGGAAUCAAACAAUAUAUGCACAUUCCACCCGAGCUCCAGCAAUUGUGGAAAACAACAGGCCGCCAAUUACUUGGCCUUCAAAGGGUAGGAUUGAGCUCCAGGAUGUCAAGAUUAAGUAUCAUUCAAAUGCUCCACUAGUUCUCAGAGGAACCACAUGCGCAUUUAAAGAAGGCACCCGUGUAGGGAUUGUCGGAAGGACGGGAAGUGGGAAAACUACGCUUAUAACUACACUUUUUCGUUUGGUUGAACCUGAUAGCGGAAAGAUUCAUGUAGACGGUGUGGACAUUUGUUCCAUAAGCCUGAAGGACCUGAGGAUGAAAUUAAGUGUCAUUCCCCAAGAGCCGACCCUUUUUAAGGGUAGUAUACGAACAAACUUGGAUCCUCUAGGACUUCACUCGGAUGAUGAAAUAUGGAAGAUCCGAUGGCAAAGGGACUUACAGAUUGGAAAUUUAGUAGAGAAGCAUGGGGUUUUAAUUUUGGAGUCCAUUGAAUGGCUUGUAAGCUUCUUGCUAUUGUUUUGUGCGCUGAGAAAUGGCAUAGAGUUUGUUGGCCAAUGGGGAAGUAGACCUUAUUAGAUCCUUUAUUGGAUAACAGAGUAAAUGAUGGGAGCCCAAGUUAAGUAGAAGAGCCUAGUUUUUCUAGGAAGUUAGUAUUUUCAUGGGUAAAUCCUUUGAUUUCGCUAGGGUAUAGAAAGCCACUAGUACUUGAAGAUAUUCCCUCUCUAGCGCCAAAAGAUCAAGCUCUUGUCGCGUACUUGCGUAUAAACGAUUCAAGGUAUCAUGGGAGUCACUUCAAAGGGAGAAGAACAGCACAAAUAUUGUUAACCUGGUAGGCAGGGCAUUACAAAGGGUUUAUGAUAAAUAAAUGGUAGUGGUAAACUGGUAGGGAUUUAUGCAUUGCUUAGGACUACUGCCGUCAUAGUUGGUCCACUGUUACUCUAUGCGUUUGUUAACUAUUCCAAUAGUAAGAGAGAAAAUUUACAAUAUGGACUACUAUUGGUAGGAUGCUUGAUUGUUGUCAAGGUAGUUGAGUCGUUGUCUCAAAGGCAUUUUUACUUUGAUGCAAAGAGAUUAGGUAUGAGGAUGAGAUCGGCCUUAAUAGUGGCAGUAUAUGAGAAACAACUCAAACUUUCUAGUUUUGGGAGAAGAAGACAUUCCACGGAAGAGAUUGUGAACUACAUCGCUGUCGAUGCUUACAGAAUGGGUGAAUUCCCUAUGUGGGUUCAUGUAGCUUGGACUUCUUUCGUUCAGCUCUUUCUAGCCAUUGGUGUUCUGUUCUCUGUAGUAGGAGUUGGUGUUCUCAGGUUUAGUCCCUCUGAAUUUGUGUGGGCUUCUCCACGUGCCAUUUGCAAUAGCACUUCAGAAAUGUCAGUUACAGUUUAUGAUUUCUCAAGAUAAGAGACUGAGGUCCACUUCUGAGAUCCUAAACAAUAUGAAGAUUAUCAAGUUACAGUCAUGGGAAGACAAAUUUAAGAAUUUCAUCCACUCUUGUAGAGACAACGAAUUCAAAUGGCUUAAGGAAUCUCAGUAUCAAAAGGCUUAUGGCUCGGUUUUGUAUUGGAUGUCACCUACAAUCAUUUCUUCAGUUAUCCUUUUGGGAUGUGCGUUUUUCAAUAGCGCUCCUCUAAAUCCUUUUGGGAUGUGCGCUUAUAAUGAAAAAGUAUUCAGUGCGUACUCCAUGUAUCCUUGGGCUGUUGAAGCACAGGACAUUGCAUUAAAGUUGGAAAGCAUGAGCGUGACACGUGAACAGGUUUUGCGUCAUCCAUGGUUGUUUAUUCCAGACAAUCGCAUAUACUACGUAUGUGAAAGCGCCCAAGUUUUAGCUGGCCUGAAUUGUGAUCAUGAUAUGAGUCUUAAGUAAAAAGAGUUUUUUACCCAAAACGAUUGGAGGGUUAUGAUUCCGGAAAACCUUAUGAGUUACAUGGACAAUUGGAAUUCUGACGGUGUUUCUAAUAAUGAUUCUGGAUGUAAUGCUGACAAUGGUAAAGCUGUUAAGAUGGAUAAAUCUGAACCUUACAAGGGUGGGAAUCCACGUCAUCUGCUAAAAUUUUCUCGGAAUAUAUAUCGCCACCGUCUAGACAUAAGGAAGAGCGUGGGAGAAAUGGAUUUUCUUGAUAGUGAGAACGCAUUUGAACAUCAACUCUCUCUAUGGUUUCCAAAACUGUUGCUGGGAACAUACAACUAUGUUGAAAGAUUUAUAAAAGCAACGAAAGAAAAAUAAGAGAGGGAAGUUUGGAGAUUUAAAAGCCUACCAUACCGUUUAAGGCACAAAGUGUUGGCAAUACCAGUCCUACUACAACAAACACGAUGGAUAUUCAAAUGCGUUCUCACUAUCAAGAAAAUCCAUUUCUCCCACGCUCUUCCUUAUGUCUAGACGGUGGCGAUAUAUAUUCCGAGCAAAUUUUAGCAGAUGACGUGGAUUCCCACCCUUGUAAGGUUCAGAUUUAUCCAUCUUAACAGCUUUACCAUUGUCAGCAUUACAUCCAGAAUCAUUAUUAGAAACACCGUCAGAUUUAUAAAAGCAACGAAAGAAAAAUAAGAGAGGGAAGUUUGGAGAUUUAAAAGCCUACCAUACCGUUUAAGGCACAAAGUGUUGGCAAUACCAGUCCUACUACAGCAAACACGAGCCAAGUUCUAUAUGUUGCAGCCCAGAAUAAUCAAGCCCGAUUGGAUUCUGAAGCUCAAGACCCAAGAGACAAUAUUUGGGUGUCGAUACAAACUGAGAAGUGAGGGCUUUUAUUAAGUCAAGAGAACUUCAUGCCACAUGUGUUAUUUAUUUCAGUUUACUUUAGGUGUUGACAGUGUAUUUCAUGCCUUAUUUGUAGCUUUAGUAGUGGGUAGUUAUUUACUUACAACUCUAUUUGUACGUGUUUUGAAAGAAGUGGCAGAUUUGAUGUUUAAUAUUA